GAUGAACGCUGGCGGCGUGCCUAAUACAUGCAAGUCGAGCGAACGGACGAGAAGCUUGCUUCUCUGAUGUUAGCGGCGGACGGGUGAGUAACACGUGGAUAACCUACCUAUAAGACUGGGAUAACUUCGGGAAACCGGAGCUAAUACCGGAUGAUAUUUUGAACCGCAUGGUUCAAAAGUGAAAGACGGUCUUGCUGUCACUUAUAGAUGGAUCCGCGCUGCAUUAGCUAGUUGGUAAGGUAACGGCUUACCAAGGCAACGAUGCCUAGACGACCUGAGAGGGGGAUCGGCCACACUGGAACGGGGACACGGUCAAGACGCCUAAGGGAGGCAGCAGUAGGGAAUCGUACGCAAUGGGCGAAAGCCUGACGGAGCAACGCCGAGUGAGUGAUGAAGGUGUUCGGAUCGUAAAACUCUGUUAUUAGGGAAGAACAUAUGUGUAAGUAACUGUGCACAUCUUGACGGUACCUAAUCAGAAAGCCACGGCUAACUACGUG
rnacentral:rRNA from 1 species